ensembl:lncRNA novel transcript
GACCACCACCCGCCACCGCCGCGCGAGCGUACUAUUGCGGCCGCCCUCUGCUGCGCCUGAAGAGAGAGGCGACUCUACAAGCCUCACAGCAUGCACUGUUACUAAAAAGACGAUGCGUCCUCCUGGACCUGAGAUCUGUGUGAUCGUGGGAAAGCGACGAAAAACGAACAAAGGAACAGUAAAUGGAGUAACUUGGCUAGAAUAUGGCAGUAACUACAAGGCAUGUUCUGCUCUGGCACGAAGUAGAUAUGGGGUUUCACCAUGUUGGCCAGGCUGGUCUUGAACUCCUGACCUUGUGAUCUGCCCACCUUAGCCUCCCAAAAUGCUGAGAUUACAGACAACCCACCUGAGGCACCAGACACAUGAGUGAAGCCAUCUUGGACAUCCCAGUCACAGCCAAACUCACUCCUGAGUGCAUCUGCAUGAUGAACCCAGCAAUCCCCACCAUGGAGCAAAGGAUCCAUCCAGUCAACCCAAAGAAUCGUGAAAAAUAAUAAAUUGUUGUUUUAAAGUUCUUCAGUUUGGGAAUAGCUUGUUAUGCAACAAUACAUAAUUAAUACACUGGUCUCCCACUUUCAAGUUUGAUUAACUUUCAGCUAUUUUUCACAUAGCAGGCAGAGUGAUUCCAUUAAAACAUAUAUCAGAUAAUGUCACUGCACUAAGUAAACUCUACAAGGACUCUCAUCUCCCUCAGAGUAAAGGUCACAGUUGUUACAAGGCCCUACGUAAUGUGGCCCUCACCACCACUCCAUUACCUUUUUCUUAUCUACUAUUUGCUAACUUUGCUUUGUCCUCUUUUCUGUUCUGAAACAGGCUAGGCAUGGUCCUGCCUCAAGGCCUUUGCACCACCUACUCUGUCUGCUUGGAUUGUUCUUCCCACAGAUUUCUUGCUCCCUUCUUCCUUCAUGAAGAAAUGUCAUGAAAUGUCCUUCCUUCAUGAAAUGUCACCUUCUCAUUUGAGGCCUUCUGUAGUACCCCAAAGAAUGGUCCCCAAAGAUGUCCACAUCCUUAUGCCCAGAACCUGUGAAUGUGUUAUCUUAAUGGCAAAAGUGACUUUGCAAAUGUGAUUAUAUUUAAGGAUCUUAAGGAGGAGAUUAUCCUGGAUUAUCCAGGAGGGCCCAAUGUAAUCACAAGGGCCCUUAUAAGUGAAAGGGGGAGGCAACAGAGAGAAGGAGAUGUCAUAAUGAAAACAGAUCCAAGUGAUGAGAUUGCUGGCUGGGGUGGAGGUGGAGGGGGGUACAAUCCAAGGAAUGCAAGAAGCCUCUAAAAGCUAGGAAAUGUCAGGACACAAAUUCUCCCCUAGAACCUGAGGAAGAAACCCAGGUUUAUGGACACUGAUUUUAACCCAAUAAGUCCCUUUUCUGACUGCUGACCUCCAAAACUGUAAGAUAAUAAAUUUGUGUUAUUUUAAGCCAACUGAGUUUGAGAUAAUUUAGUUAUGGCAGCAAUAGGAAACUAGCACACCUUCCUAGCCAUCCUAUCUAAAAUGGCAACCCAUGUCCUUCCUGGCACUUCCUAUCUCCCUUCCAUGUUUUUUUUAAAUCAUAUAUACAAUAUAUUUUACUGUUUUACCUAUUGUCUUUUCCACCAGAAAGUAAACUCCACGUAAAUAAGGAUUGUCUGUUUUAUUCUUUGCAGUAUCUCCACUGCCUAGGAUAGCAUCUGCACAUACUGCACACUCAGUACACAUUUGUCGAAUGAGGUCAGGCGCGGUGGUUCACACCUGUAAUCCCAGCACUUUGGGAGGCCAAGGCGGGUGGAUCACCUUAGGUUAGGAGUUCGAGACCAGCCUGGCCAACAUGGUGAAACCAUGUCUCUACUAAAAAUACAAAAAGUAGUUGGGCAUGGUGGCAUGUGCCUGUAAUCCCA